rnacentral:lncRNA from 1 species
UUUUAGAAUUAAAGUGAGAAACAUUGAACGAUUUCCAAACGUUUUGUAUAAUAAACUGAAACAAUUGACAUUAUUACGACAUUAGAAUCCCGGUUUACGCUAGUACUUCCGGUUAAUGACCGCGUUGGCCCAGGAUUUUCUUUUCUGGGAUUUUUUCUCUUUUUAUUUGAUUCACGAAAAUCAACUCCAAAUUAAUUCCUCGGUGAGUUCUUCUCCAUUUCUCCAACUUCCUCUCCUACGUAUUGUUCGUCUAAUACCAUUUUACCUCCUCCGUCAGUUUAUUCCACUCACCUCCAAUUAACUUUCAAUUAAUUUCCUUUCCUUAAUUAAUUUCUUUCACUUUUCUCGUUUAAUUACAUUUUCAGGCGAUCUUUCGUCUCUAGUAGACCUUUCCGUAAAAAAAAUUUUUUUUUUUUUUACAUAUGGGCUUGCGGGAACUUUUGAAGUAAUGAGAGCGAAAGAGACUAAGAGAAAGCGAUUGUAUGACGAGGGAAGUUCUUUUGAAGUUACCGUCCAGGGGAAGCAUUGAUGUACAUGUGUGUGUGUGUGUGUGUUUGAUGGGGUGUGGGAGACAGACAGUAUGUUGUGUAAGUGAAGUGCUUCUGUUAGUGUGUGUGAAGAGACAGAGUAAUGUGUGAAAGAAAGAGAUAACUGAAUUUUUUACUCGGUGUAUGUGUAUAUGUAUGUAUAUUACUUCAAAAGUUCCCGCAAGCCCAUAUGUAAAAAAAAAAAAAAUUUUUUUACGGAAAUCGACGGAAAGGUCUACUAGAGACGAAAGAUCGCCUAUUUCUCUUCUGGAUCACAUUUAAAUUGUUUUAUCGCUGUUAAAUUUUUGGCUAAAUUUCGAUCCUUUCACUCGCCCGAUUUUCGCGUGGAAUUAAGUACCCUGACCUCCUAAUAUGCUGCAAAUCCCUUAUUUUUGUUCGGACAAAAGGGGUGGGGUGAGAAACCGGACCCCUCCUAUAUCCUGGAAUUGGUACUACUAGCGAACAGUUCGAAUGAAUCGACCCCAGUACUUAAGCCUGGUACUUAUUCUGUUAGUGUCUUUUGCCGAACAGCUAAGUUACAGGGACGUGAACGCGCCAACGCCUGUUGUCGAGCGGUAAUAGGGGACACACGUGUGUGAUGGACUUGUUUCUGGUUUCGUUUACCAAAAUCACUCAGAUGACUUAGGUCAACCCAACGCUAUAGUAGAAGAUACUUGCUCAAGGUGCCACGCAGUGGGAUUGAACCUGGAGCCUUGUGGUUGCCCAUUUCGAUAUAUAGGGGUUGGACAAAAUAAUGGAAACACCUAGCAUCAAAGCAUCAUAAUUUUAAAAUAUCUAUAAAACCGUCAAAAGCUUUUUUAUUUAUUAUUAGUGUUGCUUAAUAUGUUUUGCUAAAAUUGCUGUUUCUUUUCAGAUAUCCUCAGAAAAAGGUAAUUAAAAUGACAGAUCUGUCGGAUUUUCAAAGAGGUCAAAUUGUUGGUGCUCGUAGGGCAGGUGCUAGCGUAUCGAAAACAGCCGAAAUGUUUGGUGUAUCAAGAAAUACUGUCUCAAAAGUAAUGACAACCUUUGAGAAAGAGGAAAAAACCUCCUCAUUGAAACAAAACUCCAGAAGAAAAGCAAAAAUUUCUGAUAGGGGCCGUCGGAAUUUUCUGCGAAUUGUUAUAAAGAGUCGCAAAAGUACAGCUCCCAAAAUUACUGCGGAGCUUAAUGACAACAUUGAGAAACCAGUCUCCACAAAAACUGUCCGCCAGGAGCUACACAAAGCCGAACUUCGUGAGAGGGCUGCAAAGCCAGAUGUUACGGAAGGGCAGUGAUUGUAUCUGGUUUUCUUGCUUCAGUAGUACAAUCAAUCUAUAUUGGAAAAUCCCACAAGAUCUUGUAAUUCUCAUCAUCAUUAUUAUUAUUAUUAUUAUUAUUAUUAUUCUUUCCGACGCUGAUGGACGUGUCUGCGGAGGCUCCGUGAAUUUUUCACCAAUUUCAUAGGAAAUCGUUUGAUAAGUGUAAAUAUUUUUUAAUAUUUUUGUAGCCGAGCCGAUUAGCUCUUUGUAGAGCUGAUUGGUUAGGCAAAAAUUUUGCCCCUUUCGGGGUAAAAUUACUGUUUAUUACUUGAAAUUUGACAUUUUUUGCACACACACAUUUACAAAAUGGCUUUGAAACGAGCUGCUGGCUCUUCCCUCCUUGCAACAACACCCCCUACACAAGAAGAAAAAAUUACAUCACAGUUAACGAACCGCCCAUUUCAAGCCGUAAAAGGCAACAGAGCUCCUCUUUCCGAAACGGAAAGCACGCGUACCGUUCGAAAGGAGAAUGCUAGUCAGGACGUCGCGUUCGACGUCACUCUUGAUUUCCCCCUCUGCCUUCAACAAGUGAUGCUGUACCGAAGGGGGAGGAAAAGAAACUUAUAACAGACACAAACACAGACAAGAACCAACAAAAAAAUGUAAAAGUCUCUAACGAUUUUGCUUCUGCUGCGAAGCAAAUUUCGGAAGAUGUAGAAAUAACAAUGAAGGACAUAAAAAUGGCACAAGAUUUGUUGAGAAAGGAGGGAAACAGUGUUUUCCUCAACACACCUCAACAACUCACACAAGAGACAAACAAAAGAACAAUCUUUUAUAAAGUUUUCGAAAAGAAAACUAAAAGAUUGUUUAACGCCACACCACAACAGUUAGAGAUGGCUCUGAAGCCCAUUUGGGGCCAGAAGAGCUAUGUGACAAGAGGGAAGCGAUUUGGAACCGUGGAGGUUCGCUUCCCAACAGAGGAGCUUGCAAGGGCGAACGCCAUUUCGCCCUUGCAAAAUGAACAUUUGUUCCUCGUCCCGACGUACCUCGGGCAUAAGGUACAAAAAAUAACUAUUAACACAAUACCCCCCGAACAGAAAAUCUCAUGGCUAGUGGUGGCUGUCCUCUAUGGCAUAGAGGACACUGCCACUAUUCUGAAUGUUCGGAGGGUACGAGAAAAGAACUGGUCAGGCAUGGGUAUUCAACUGCUGGUACAGAUCCAGCAGGAAAACAUCAAUGCCAUACCUGACUUACUGGAUGGGACCAGGCUAAAUGUUACUGUAGAGGGGCGAAAGCCAAAAUGUUUCCUCUGCAGUAGCGAAAGCCACCUGAAAAGGGACUGCCCCAUUCAGAAAAAGAUAAUGGAGGAGUAUAGCAAGAGGCAGCAACAACAACAAAAACAGCACGAAAUACCAAAGGCUGCCACACCACCAACACCAUCACCAACACCAGCACCAAGACGAACAACACCACCUCCAACAACAAGAACCACCACCAAACCAACACCGACACCAGUACCUCGAAGAUCAACUGCAGCAACAUCAACAGCAACAGGAGCAGCGGCACCACCGAUACCGGCGGAACCAAAAACCUUUCGUCCUGCUACUGAAGCAGACCCUCAACCAUUCCUUUGCCGGAUGAAGAGAUCUCGGAUUGUGCGAGCUCUGAUUCCAACAAAGGAGAAUGGAACAUAGUGCCUCCAAAGAAGAAAAGGAGGAAAAAACAAAAAGAUUUACAGGGGAAGCACGAACAAAUAGUACUUCCCAACAUCAACAACAACACACAUUCACAACAACAAACAACAACAACAACAACACUUUCGACACCACUACUGCCACUGCCACAGACACAAACAAACACAGACACAAUUACACACACAAUUACAGCAAUAAAUACAAAAAACCAAGAACUGGUUGAGUAUUUGAAAGACAAAACAAGCAGUUUUGGGAGUUUUUCAUUGUUUUAUUAUAAUUAUUGUUAAUGUAUUUUUACACGGAUUUUUUAACAAACGGACAAAACCCUUUGUAACCUUUCGUCCUGUCUUGUCCCUUUAUGUAAUCAUGCGUGUCAGCCCUUGUGGCCAAUAAAAAAGAAUUGAUUAUUAUUAUUAUUAUUAUUAUACUCCGACACGACGGACGUACGUGAAUCAGCUCUGUGAGUUUUGUGCCAAUUUUAUUGGAAAUUUGUUAAUAAGUUUGAAUAUUUUUUAAUAUUUUUGUAGCCAAACCAACCGGCUUCUUGCGGAGCUCGUCGGUUGGGCGAAAUUUUGCCCCAUUCGGGGUGAAAUUACUGUUUAUUACAUUGAAAUUGACAUUUUUUUGCACACACACAUUUACAAAAUGGCUUUAAAACGAGCUGCUGGCUCUUCCCUCCUUCUUACAACACCCCCUCCACAAGAAGAAAAAAUUGCGUCACAGAUUACGAACAACCCACUUCGCGCCGUUAAAGGCAACAGAGCUCCUCCUUCCGAAACGGAAAGCACGCGCACCGUUCGAAAGGAGAAUGCUAGUCAGGACGUCGCGUUCGACGUCACUCAUGAUUUCCCCCCUCUGCCUUCAACAAGUGAUGCUGUACCGAAGGGGGAGGAGAGGAGGGUUAUAACGGACACAAACACAGACAAGAACAAAGAAAAAAAUUAAAAAACUUCCAACAAUUUUGCUUCUGCUGCGAAGCAAAUUUCGGAGGAAGUUAAGAUAACUCUAGAAGAUGUGAAAAGAGCUAAGGAGUUGUUGAGGAAGGAUGGCAACGGCAUCUUCCUCAAUACUCCACAAGAGGUGAUUGAAAGCACAAACAAGAAAACAAUCAUAUACAAAGUUUUCGAUAGAAAACUAAAAAGAAUGACAAAUGCCACACCCCAACAGUUAGAGAUAGCUCUAAAGCCCAUUUGGGCCCAAAAGAGCUACGUAACCAAGGGGAAGCGUUUCGGAACCGUGGAGGUUCGCUUCCCAACAGAGGAGCUUGCAAGGGCGAACGCCAUUUCGCCCUUGCAAACUGAGAAUUUGUUACUAAUUCCGACCCACCUCGGGCGAAGAGUAACAAAAAUAAAAAUCAACCUCGCCCCACCUGAGCUAGAUAUGUCAUGGCUGGUGGCAGCUGUCCUCUAUGAUAUAGAGGACACUACCACCAUUCUAGAUGUCAGGAGAGUGAGGGCGAAAAACUGGUUGGGGAUGGGAGUGCUGCUUCUUGCGCAAAUUCAGCAAGAAAAUAUCAGUUAAGUCCCUGAUUUCGUAAGUUUGCCGGACGGCACCAGGCUAAACGUUGCUGUGGAGGGGCGAAAGCCAAAAUGUUUCCUCUGCAGCAGCGAAAGCCACUUAAAGAGGGACUGCCCCAUUCACAAAAAGAGGAUGGAGGCUUUCAGCAAGAGGCAGCAGCAACAACAACAAAAACAGCAAGAAACACCAAAGGCUGCCACACCACCAACACCAGCACCAAGACGAACAACACCACCUCCAACAACAACAACCAACACCAACACCAGUACCUCGAAGAUCAACUGCAGCAACAUCAACAGCAACAGGAGCAGCGGCACCACCGAUACCGGCGGAACCAAAAACCUUUCGUCCUGCUACUGAAGCAGACCCCUCAACCAUUCCUUUGCCGGAUGAAGAGAUCUCGGAUUGUGCGAGCUCUGAUUCCAACAAAGGAGAAUGGAACAUAGUGCCUCCAAAGAAGAAAAGGAGGAAAAAACAAAAAGAUUUACAGGGGAAGCACGAACAAAUAGUAUUUCCCAACAUCAACAACAACACACAUUCACAACAACAAACAACACUUUCGACACCACUACUGCCACUGCCACAGACACAAACAAACACAGACACAAUUACAGCGAUAAAUACAAAAAACCAAGAACUGGUUGAGUAUUUGAAAAACAAAACAAGCACAAACAUUACAGAUUUCAUAAUACCUACACACAACACACCACCAGCACACAUUCUCACAAUAAAAAUAAACAAUACAGUAUACAAUGAAAUUAAACAAAUAUUCCCUAACGAUGGGAUCGUUAGGGAAAAGUUUCUCUAAGAAACUUUAUAAAAAUAUUGUUGAAGCACCCGUGCAAAAGCACAAGGGAGCCACCCCCACCACCAACAACAGUAAGUAGAGCCUUUUUUCUCCUUUUUUUUUUCCUAACUUUUGAAACAUGGCAAAUCUUAGAAUCGGUUGCUUGAAUGUGAGAGGCCUCGGGUCACCUUGGAAACAGGGUCACCUGUUAAACGACCUGAGGUUUCAUGAUGUGGAUGUAGCAGCCAUCAGUGAAACCAGGCUCUCCGACCCGCAGGAACUCGCAGCCCUUUUCGGCGGAUACGAGAUAUUUCUAUCUCCGUGUCGGCCGGGAGCGGGCGGUGGUGGUACUGCGGUGUUGUUUCAGAAGGGCCUGGACCUGAAAAUAAGGACAGUCUUCUUGGAUCCGGAAGGUAAGUUGGUGGUCCUCGACGUGGACGGUAGUGACGGCGGUGCUUUCAGACUGCUGGCUGCCUACACUCCAACAGGAGCAGGGCAGUCAGAUUAUUUCAAACGUCUGGAAGUUUUCCUGGGAACGUCACGCACUCUAGUGCUAGUUGGGGAUUGGAACGCUGUCUUAGACGAACGUUUCGAUCGGGUGGGCAGGGGAGCGUCUGAUAGGAGAGGGGGAGGGUGCAAGAGCCUCGCCAACCUACUCGGCCGCUUUCAGCUGUCCGACAGGUUUCGACUAGACAACCCGAAUGUGCCAAUGUGGACUUGGACAAACCGCACCGGGUCGUCUAGAUCGUACUUAGAGUGUUUUGUAGGCCAGCGGAUAAGGACAGCGUAGGGUGUCCACAAUUCCACCUAGUCGAAUAUACAGACCACAAAUUAGUGAUCUGUACGGUCGACUUAGAUAGGCUACAUAGACAGGGACCCGGUUACUGGAAGCUGAACGCGUCAUUAAUGGCGUGCAAAGCUUACAGAGACCGGAUUAGUUUACUAGUUAAGCGGGCGCUCACGGGGGCAAUCAUCAACAACAACUGGUGGUUUGCCCUCAAGAGAGCAAUUAGAGUAGAGUCGAUUAGGUAUAGUAAGACUCUAGCUAUUGAACGUAGGAAGAGAGAGCGGGAUUUAGUUAAGAAACUAGACGAGGCUCUUGACACUGGCAUCGCGACCGACGUGUUGGCGGCAAAGUUGGACCUCGACCAACACUUCGAUGCCAAACACGAAGGUUGCGUUGUCAGAGCUAAGGCACGUUCGCUAAGCGGGGAAGGGACUAGAGCCGCUCGAUGGGCCCGCGUGGCGGAGGCGAAGCGAGGCAACAGAGCAACCAUUCGGUCUUUGGUGGACCAGAACGGGCGCGAGGUUACCGAACCGAAGCAGAUGUGUACGGUGCUUCAGCGGCACUUUGCUCAACUGUUUGGGACGAGCGG